rnacentral:snRNA from 1 species
AGACUACACUGGCUGUGACACCUGUUAUCUCAUUGAUUGCCAGGAUUGGUCCGGCUGGCUAAGUGGGUGUCCUCUCACUCACUCACCACUCCAUGUGGGUCCCUUCCAAAUAUGCUUGCUUAGUGGAAGCAGAUCUCAUUAAUGGCAAAUGAAGCAAAUAGGCAAUUUCAUUCCCCUAAACUUCUUUGUUUUCUUUCAGUGUUCUGUCCAUUUCACUAUCUCUAGACAGAACAUGAAAUCUUGGGGGAAAAAGGAGCACAUAGAUUUCAAUGUUAUUUUAUAUUUAAAAAUAUAAACAU